rnacentral:lncRNA from 1 species
GAAAAGAAAUCUAUGACAUUCUUGAUCAAAUAAAUAAACAUUCCUAAAGAUGGCAAUGCUGCAAUUGUGAACUCCUGAUGCAAAUACUAUUACGGCUUUACUCACAAAUAAAAUUCCCUUUCGUUUAUGAAUUUACUGUGAAUUUUACAGAAGAUAUCAAGACUGAAUAAAUUAGCAUUAUUCCUAAAGCAGCACCGGAGUGACUUCUCUAUUCACUAGGGUCUAGGUAUGUAACAGCAAACUAGAAAUGCAAUGCUUUGUCAAAGCCAUGUGCAACAGACACACUUGAUUCUGCAACUAAUUAGUAGAGGUGUCCUGCUUUGAAAAUUUGUCUCGUCUCAAACUCUUCGUCUGACUCACGCAUAUGACUUGUCAGUUGUCAUGGCACAGACUGCAGUUCAAUUGUUGUGAGCAGGAUUCAGAAAAUAAUGCUGAAGCCUAUGUCCUGACCUGAUUGGCACACUAUCCUGCAAAAGCAACCACGCGGUGGUGCUCCAGUUUUUAAACUGCAUUCCUACGUGAAACAAGCCAAUCGGUGCCCCUGAGUAUCAUUAGUAAACCAGGCACUGCAAGUCACCAACAGCAACUCAACAAGCCGACGAAUGAACACAUGAACCAGCAUCAGAAGGAAGGAAAUACCUCAUCAGCCAUAUUCCCGUAAUAAUCAACAAAUAGGCCAUAGCAACCGCGUCUCGGAGUCUCAGAGAGUGAACGUGAACGAUGCGAUGACCUAGUGUUCCCAUAUAAAAUUAAAAGGCGAGCAUGGAUGAUGUGAAAUGCGGAACUCACCUGGUUGGACGACGAGGAGGAUGACCGGCAACAAACUGACCCCCGGCACCCCGCUCUCCCCUACUUCAAUCGGAGACGGCGUCUCCAAGCGUUGGCUCGAUCGGAUUGCCGGGCAGGGUAUGCCGGUAUGCCGUGGCAUAUACGGCAUACCCUGUGGUUCCGCCACUGCUCGGCGGGGUGUGGAUCGGAGGCCGGCGCCGUCGUGCCGAGGCCGCGACCGACUCCGCAAGCACAACAAUCCGGAGAGCACGCGGCGGUAGGAGGGUUGGGACUCUCCGCCUCUCCGGAAGGCCGUGGCUUCACAAAAGACGGAGAGCGCGAGGGAAACCGCGAGAGGCAGGCAGGCCUGGAACCGCCGCGGCGCGUGUUGCCGCCACAGGUGGGCUCUG